rnacentral:rRNA from 1 species
GAAAACCAUCAAACAGGCACUAAUGCUCAGGAUCUCAUCAAAACUCCACAGCUUAGAGUGCCUAUGUAAGAACAACAGUACUAGGAUGGAGGACCUCUUAGGAAGCCCGUUUAUCAUACUCG